UACGGGGGGAGCAAGCGUUGUUCGGAUUUACUGGGCGUAAAGGGCGCGUAGGCGGCUGUGCAAGUCAGUUGUGAAAUCUCCGGGCUUAACUCGGAACGGUCAACUGAUACUGCUCGGCUAGAGUGCGGAAGGGGCAACUGGAAUUCUUGGUGUAGCGGUGAAAUGCGUAGAUAUCAAGAGGAACACCUGCGGCGAAGGCGGGUUGCUGGGCCGACACUGACGCUGAUGCGCGAAAGCCAGGGGAGCGAACGGG
rnacentral:rRNA from 1 species